AAUGGACUUAGUGGGUCUUUGAAUUUAAAUAAAAUAAACAUGUAUAUGCAACACAAAAUAUUUAUAUUCCUUGUGUAAACAUAAUUUAAUUGAUUAGGAUUAAAAUGUUUUGUUUGAAUGUAAAAUGAACACAUUAUUCUCACAUUGAUUAAAAUUGAUUGAAUUGAAUACUUAAAACAAUAAAAUUGGGUUUGGACACAAAACGGCACCUCCUGAGCAGCAGGGGCAGUAUAGCUCAUUGAGAAGGACAUCGAUUGCCAUAAAAGAAGAAUAAAGAUCGUUUUUUUGGGCGCCAAAAUGAAGACUAAGCACAGCAGUCACUGCCAGUCAGUCAGAAGAACUCUCUCAGACGGACACCACGUUAUUAAAGUCCAUCAUCCUUGCAUGCGCUACACAGCAUUGAUAAAUGCUGAAUUUGAAAGAAUCACUACUGUCUUAUGUUCCUGCGUGUCACCUGGACCUCCAAUCCAAAAACCUGACGAAACUCUUCUAUCAGAAAGGAGGACAGCUAGCAAAAAGGCUUCAAACAAUCAAUGAUCAAAUGACAGAUGGCAUGGAUGAAGUCAGCAUCAGUGAGGUCAUUUGAAGACACCACUGUUGGGAUUUGUGCUCUCAAACAACCUGCUUCUUGUGAUGAAGAAGAGGAUCUUUGUAUAGUCCUGGAAGGCAUGAAGGUGUUGCAACAUCGUGCCAUGUUGUUUGAGCUGAUGUAUGCCUUAAACCUGAGCUAUCCUGAUCUCCGCUUUAUUUUUGAGGAAAUCCAAAAGAUUUUAAUGGAACUGCAUUGAGAGUAACUUUAACGAACAGUUUCUUUCAGUGAAAGGAUCAGAAAGACUGUGCUGCUCAUUUUUGACUUUGUUUAUCUGUUUUAAGUGUUUUCUCUUAUUAAUACAUUAACCGUUUGCUGCUCAGAGUCGAUUUUGGAAAUGGUUGUUGUAUUUUGUUUUUGUUGAAUCUAUGAUUAACAGUUUAUACAAAUGCUGUAGCUCUGACUUUCUGAAGGAUUGAUAUUUUCCAGUUUGUAAAUCCAUUUUAAAAAUAAUAGUACUUACUGUUUUGCAUGUCUCUUUGGAAUGCAGUGUUUGUGUUUUAGCACUUCUAAAUCUACUGUGAUAGUAACUAUUUUAAACAUUUGGGUCAGUUUCAUCCUAAUAUAACUAGGGCCUAGUCAUGAAUUAAUCUACAACCUGUUUGGGAAAUUGCCCCUUUAUGUAUGUACUGCAUGUGCUGAUUGUUGUAAUAGUUAUUGACUGUUAUUGAAUUAAUGUGUAGUGAUUUAAAUGAAUUGAUGAUCUGAAAGCAGUGGUUUGCCUCAAUAUCACUAAACAUUUGUACAAAACUCUUCACUUUUUAUGCCAAUGCAAAUGUAUUUUGUAUUUAAAAAGAAAUAAAUAACAUUUGGAUAAUUA